GGUGCUAAGAGCUUCCAAAAGGGCUGUCAGCUCCUAGCCUUUCCUGAAUAAUGCUGUUUGGUACUCUUUUAGGAACCACGCAAAACAGUAAAACCUUACUUAAAAGUACACAGAAGCCUCAACUUACACAAAAGCCACCUGACGAGUGACUUCUGCAAGAGAUGUAAGACCGUUAAAAGCUAUUUUCCUUGAUGUGUUGGACAUCCUGUGCAAGACACACGACUUGUUUUAGGGAUGCGCCCAUUGUAGAGAGAGAGGCACAAUGCAUUUGUCUCUGAAAAGGGAUUUCUUAGGAAAAAGCAUCUGCCUCCCCUGCAAGCCCCAGAAGACAUAUUGACAACAGGGGGAUUAAGACAUAUUGACAAUGGGAGGAUUAUUUCCUACCCUGGUGUGUGACAAACGCCUGCUAAUACUUGCCCAAGACAAUGCUGUCUCCAUCUCCUCUUAAACACAAAGGCCAUCACCCACCGACUGGACCUGAGGUACCCAUGGGCUACUGACCUUGCCUGUCCUGUGGCCGGCCCAGGAGGAUGCAGGGAAAGUCCUAAGCUGAGACUCUCGGGCCCGGAUUGAUGUGGCUGUGGAGCUGCCCUCCCUUCUGGCAUACCUCUCGUUUUGGCUCUAGGCAUUCCCAUGGCCAGCAGACAGGAAGUACCCAGGGGAAGCUUAACCAAGCAAUUCUUCUCAGAGAAGCAAAGAAGUUGUUUGUAAACCUCGAUGAGCAAGGAGACCUCAGAGGCCUGGCUGGGCAGUUGUCACCCCAGUGCAGGUCCACUUUUCCUUUCUGAAAGUCCUGUUCUCUCCAAUUCCUGACCCCAGAGCCCCGCGAAACUGCCUGCAAGUUCUCAGGACCCUGGCACACAGGUUCAGAUCAGCAAGGUGAAGAGGUAGCAAAGAAUGAGGCAGCCCAUCCAUAGCCCUGAGUGGGCAGGAAGUCCAGGAAGAAACUUCUCAGAUUAUCAAAUGGAUUCUUCAGUUCCCUGACACAGGAUUGUGUAAGAUGUACACAGCCCAUUUUGUCUCCAAGAAACCCCAAAGGACUUAAGUAUCUCCUAGAUCAUCACAAAGGCCCUGUUGGCAUCCACGUCCCCACAUACUCAUCCUGGGUCUGAGGGAAAAGAGAGGGCAGGCAGGCAGCCAGCCUGGGCAGAGAAACACCAGAGCAAAACCCACAGCCAGAGCAGGCAGCACAGAGGAGAAAUGGACAGCCGGCAAGUACAUGAGCCAUCCCUGCCCCCUUCCCCAGCUUCCUUUCACCUUAGCCUGCUUGUUGCUGUCUGGAACUCUCCUUCUGUCUUUAUUUCCUAGCCUGUCACAUGACCCUCCCCUGGAGGCAGGUCCCAGAGGGUGGUCUGACCUGCUCACUUUUGUAUCGCCAGCUCCAAGAGCAGCGCCCAGGAUCAUCCCAACAAAGGUUCAAGACAUGCUUGUUGAAUGAAUGAAUAACAUCUUUGUUCUAUAGAGCUGCCCACCCUGGAUCUUGGCAGUACCCCCAUCUUUGCCCAGAGCCAGGGCAUGUAGAAGCAGUUUAGGAAAUUCUCAUGGAAGCCCCAUGAGAGCAGGUGAGAACCCAGGCACUAAGUAUCAUGGUUAAAAGCCUGAGGCCCCUGGCAUCACAGUCCAGAGAUAACUGCUGUGAGGUUUCCUGUCUGAUUCUAAAGCCUGGAACUAACUGUGGAAAGACCAACAAGGGGAGAAGAAAUGAUGUGUAGAUAGUAACAGGGCUGGGCACAAAGAGCUCGGGAGAGGCUAAGCAGGACUGUGUCCCAUGUCCAGAGUCUCUAUAGCAUGCAUGUGCCGGUGGCGCAAAACCUGAGGUCCUGGAAGACACAGACCUUUUCCGUCCACAGACAGUUCUCUGAAUAUUCCUUUGUCCUAUUACAACCAAGUGCAAAUAUAAAUUUGCACUUGCCACAAAACCUUUUUCUAACCUUUAACUCAUCUGUGAAAACCUGGGUGUGAGGUAAACGUUGACUUGAAGAUGAUCAGGCUGUAUAUUUAAUUUACCAGCUUGCAUGUGAACUUCCCCUUUGAAGUCUUGCUUACUAAUUUCUCUUCACAUUGUCAGUGAUGUUUACUCAGCAUUCUCAGCCCUUCCAUUUUUUGGCUAACCUUUCUUUGGUUAAGCAGCUAGAGCUGGUAUCAGUUUGAAAGCUUCCUUUGCUGGUUAGUUGUAACAGAAGAAUGAUCUAGUUGGCCGCAAUGUUUUUACGAAGGUGUCUGGCCUUUUUACAAUGAGAUUUACAUCAUCCCCUCUUUUUCCCCCUUACACUCAUAAGGGCAGGAGAAAUGGGUUUUAGGCACAGAUGAGUAUUUUCCAGUUUCAGAACAAGUCCCUGGAUACUGUGAAAGAAAACACCUACUGCAUGGCCAGUGGUGACAUAGCAGGGAGCCAGGGCUCCCUUGGCACAUGGUGCCUGCCACUCCCACCAAGAGCCAUGUUUAACCCAGUCGGGCUUUGGGGUGACAGGUCUGUGGUCUGUAGUCUUCAACUGGAUGACCCUUGAAGGGUUUAGAUUUUCUAAGAGAAUAUUGCAAUGACUGAUUGAAAGAUAUGUCUUCAUCUAAUCCUGAGGAAAGAGAAAACCCCAAGUGAGGGAGAGUCUUUGUUGCCUGAAAAAAUGUCAAUGUGAUGAAAGACAAAGCUGAGGAACUGUUUCAGGAUAUGGCAGAUCAAAGAGGAGGAACGUCUAAGUGCAGAGAGCACCGCUGGACUGGAUCCUGGGCCGAGGGAAAAAGAAAUGGCUUUAAAGGACAUUAUUGAGACAAGUGGCUAGAUCUGAAUAUGGAUUGGGAUACUGCACCGAUGCAAGCAGCACAAUACCAUACAAUUGUAUUAACACGAUGAUAUUAUUAUAUUGUCAAAUCUCCUCAUUUGAAUAAUUAUACUUAUGUUUUCAGGAAAUAAGCUGAAAUGUUUAAAGAUAAGCUAGCUCUCAAGCGGUCUGAGAAGAUGUUUGUAUGUAUAUGCAUAUACCUGUGUAUAUGUGUGUAUGUAUGAGAGGGAGCAAAGUGAUAAUGCAAUUAAUGUGGGUCAUUAAUUCUUUUCAUUGUACUAUUUCGUUGUACUAUUCUUACAACUCUAAAUUUCAAAUUAUUUGGGGGGAAGUAAUUUUUCAUUUUCUCUUUUCCUUUCUAUUUUUAAACAUGUCAUCUGUAAAUAUAUGCAGUUGGGUGGUUUCUUUUAUGAGAAGGCAGAAAAAAGUAAUACUUGAAGUAACUGACAUCACAUUUAAUGUCAAUUUAUCACAAUAUUUCUUUAAGCUCUAAUAGUAUAUGAUCCCAGUAAUUACUUCAUGUACUAUAUAAUCUUAAAACUGUUUAAUUUUCUUUUUCUUGCUGAAAGGCUGCUUUGGGAGGGAAAGUAAUGUUUUUGUUUUAUAUGAAAAUGGGUAAAGCAGAUGGUUUGUACAGUUCCUCCAACAGCAGCAUGUGGCUUAAGUUGCAAAAUGCCCUUUGGCUUUUUAAUUAAGUGAGAAAAAUGAAUUUCUAGUAAACAGAGCUUCUUCCUGCUCCUGCCCCUAUUUGGUAAUUUGGAGGGGCUAGUGUC